rnacentral:rRNA from 1 species
UACGGAGGGGGCUAGCGUUGUUCGGAAUUACUGGGCGUAAAGCGCGCGUAGGCGGCUUUGUAAGUUAGAGGUGAAAGCCCGGAGCUCAACUCCGGAAUUGCCUUUAAGACUGCAUCGCUAGAAUCAUGGAGAGGUGAGUGGAAUUCCGAGUGUAGAGGUGAAAUUCGUAGAUAUUCGGAAGAACACCAGUGGCGAAGGCGACUUACUGGACGACUGUUGACGCUGAGGUGCGAAAGCGUGGGGAGCAAACAGG